ensembl:misc_RNA
UUCAGCUUAUGGCUGAAUAUUGUUCUAUUUAUAUGCAGAACAGGUAAAGUUUAGACAGUUGCAGAACAAGCAUUACCACACUCUGCUAAUGUGUCUGUACCCUGACCUGGAGGGAUCUUGCCCUGGGAUGAAAGGAUAGUUUCUUCUCCAUGCACAUUCAGUCCUUGGGUUCU